CUUGGUCAUUUAGAGGAAGUAAAAGUCGUAACAAGGUUUCCGUAGGUGAACCUGCGGAAGGAUCAUUAAGAAUUAUAAAUAUUUGUGAAAUUUACACAGCAAACAAUAAUUUUAUAGUCAAAACAAAAAUAAUCAAAACUUUUAACAAUGGAUCUCUUGGUUCUCGUAUCGAUGAAGAACGCAGCGAAACGCGAUAUUUCUUGUGAAUUGCAGAAGUGAAUCAUCAGUUUUUGAACGCACAUUGCACUUUGGGGUAUCCCCCAAAGUAUACUUGUUUGAGCGUUGUUUCUCUCUUGGAAUUGCAUUGCUUUUCUAAAAAAUCGAAUCAAAUUCGUUUGAAAAACAACACUAUUCAACCUCAGAUCAAGUAGGAUUACCCGCUGAACUUAAGCAUAUCAAUAAGCGGAGGAAAAGAAACCAACAGGGAUUGCCUUAGUAACGGCGAGUGAAGCGGCAAAAGCUCAAAUUUGAAAUCGGCCACCAGGUCGAGUUGUAAUUUGUAGAUUGUAUCUUGAGAGCGGAUUAAAGUCUGUUGGAACACAGCGCCUUAGAGGGUGACAGCCCCGUAAAAUCUAUUCUCAUUGUAAGAUACUUUCGAAG
rnacentral:sRNA from 1 species